rnacentral:rRNA from 1 species
UACGUAGGGUGCGAGCGUUAAUCGGAAUUACUGGGCGUAAAGCGCACGUAGGCGGCUUUUAAAGUCAGAUGUGAAAGCCCCGGGCUCAACCUGGGAAUUGCAUUUGAAACUGGAAAACUAGAGUGUGUGAGAGGGGGGUAGAAUUCCAAGUGUAGCGGUGAAAUGCGUAGAGAUUUGGAGGAAUACCAGUGGCGAAGGCGGCCCCCUGGCACAACACUGACGCUCAGGUGCGAAAGCGUGGGGAGCAAACAGG